GGUCAAGCUACGAAGGGCUAACGGUGGAUACCUAGGCACACAGAGGCGAAGAAGGACGUGGUUACCGACGAUAUGCUACGGGGAGCUGGAAGCGAGCAUUGAUCCGUAGGUUUCCGAAUGGGGCAACCCUAGAUACGGUUGGUUGAAUACAUAGACCAACACGAGCGAACGCAGCGAAUUGAAACAUCUUAGUAGCUGUAGGAAGAGAAAGCAAACGCGAUUCCCUUAGUAGCGGCGAGCGAAGCGGGAACAGCCUAAACCAGAGUGCAUGCACUUUGGGGUUGUGGGACAGCGACAUGGAAUCGAGCGACUAGACGAAGCAGUUGAAAGCUGCACCAGAGGAAGUGAAAGUCUUGUAGUCGAAAGUUUAACGAUACUAGCUGCAUCCCGAGUAGGCCGGAGCACGUGGAAUUCCGGUUGAAUCAGCGAGGACCACCUCGUAAGGCUAAAUACUCCUGUGUGACCGAUAGUGAAACAGUACCGCGAGGGAAAGGUGAAAAGAACCCCGGAAGGGGAGUGAAAUAGAACAUGAAACCGUUAGCCUACAAGCAAUCGAAGCACGAUUUAACGUGUGACGGUGUGCCUGUUGAAGAAUGAGCCGGCGACUUAUAGGCACUGGUAGAUUAAGACGGAAAUGUCGAAGUCAAAGCGAAAGCGAGUCUGAAUAGGGCGAUAAUCAGUGUUUAUAGACCCGAACCCCGGUGAUCUAACCAUGGGCAGGAUGAAGCUUGAGUAACAUCAAGUGGAGGUCCGAACCGACUGAUGUUGAAAAAUCAGCGGAUGACCUGUGGUUAGGGGUGAAAUGCCAAUCGAACCGGGAGCUAGCUGGUUCUCCCCGAAAUGUGUUGAGGCGCAGCGGUAGAGAUUAUAGCGGGGGGGUAAAGCACUGAUUCGGUGCGGGCUGCGAGAGCGGUACCAAAUCGAGUCAAACUCUGAAUACCCCGUGGACACUCUGCCAGUGAGACGGUGAGGGAUAAGCUCCAUCGUCAAGAGGGAAACAGCCCAGACCACCAGCUAAGGUCCCCAAAUCACAGUUAAGUGAUAAAGGAGGUGGGAGUGCAUAGACAACCAGGAGGUUUGCCUAGAAGCAGCCAUCCUUAAAAGAGUGCGUAAUAGCUCACUGGUCAAGCGCUCCUGCGCCGAAAAUGAACGGGGCUAAACUGUGUACCGAAGCUGUGGGAUUACAUGUAAUCGGUAGGGGAGCGUUCCAUUGUAGUGCGAAGCAUCAGCGAAAGCAGGUGUGGACGAAGUGGAAGUGAGAAUGUCGGCUUGAGUAGCGCAAACAUUGGUGAGAAUCCAAUGCCCUGAAAUCCUAAGGGUUCCUCCGGAAGGCUCGUCCGCGGAGGGUUAGUCGGGACCUAAGGCGAGGUCGAAAGACGUAGUCGAUGGACAAUCGGUCAACAUUCCGAUACCGAUUUAAGAUUGUGCAGAGGGACGGAGAAGGCUAACACAGCCAGAAGUUGGUUACUGGUUCAAGUGUCCGAGGUGAUGAGAGACGGUGAAAACGUCUUGAGCUGAGGCAUGAGUACGAGGGGAUACGUCCCCGAAGUGUGUGAGGUCAAGCUUCCGAGAAAAGCUCUAACCACGUUAAUCUUAAAUCGCCCGUACUCUAAACCGACACAGGUGGGAUGGUUGAGAAUACUAAAGGGCGCGAGAUAACUCUCUCUAAGGAACUCGGCAAAAUUGCCCCGUAACUUCGGAAGAAGGGGUGCCCCUCGCAAGGGGGGUCGCAGUGAAGAGUCCCAGGCGACUGUUUACCAAAAACACAGGUCUCCGCGAAGUCGCAAGACGAGGUAUGGGGGCUGACGCCUGCCCAGUGCCGGAAGGUUAAGGAAGUCGGUCAGGGGGCAACCCUGAAGCUGACGACCGAAGCCCCGGUGAACGGCGGCCGUAACUAUAACGGUCCUAAGGUAGCGAAAUUCCUUGUCGGGUAAGUUCCGACCCGCACGAAAGGCGUAACGAUCUGGGAGCUGUCUCGGAGAGAGACUCGGCGAAAUAGGAUUGUCUGUGAAGAUACGGACUACCUGCACCUGGACAGAAAGACCCUAUGAAGCUUUACUGUAGCUUGGUAUUGGGUUCGGGCUUUGACUGCGCAGGAUAGGUGGGAGGCUAAGAAGUGACUCUUGUGGGAGUCAUGGAGCCAACAGUGAGAUACCACUCUGUCAGAGCUAGAAUUCUAACCGACCGCCGUUAUCCGGCGUUGGAACAGUAUCAGGUGGGCAGUUUGACUGGGGCGGUCGCCUCCUAAAUGGUAACGGAGGCGCGCAAAGGUUCUCUCAGGCUGGUUGGAAAUCAGCCGUAGAGUGUAAAGGCAAAAGAGAGCUUGACUGCAAGAGCGACAACUCAAGCAGGGACGAAAGUCGGCCUUAGUGAUCCGACGGCACUGAGUGGAAGGGCCGUCGCUCAACGGAUAAAAGUUACUCUAGGGAUAACAGGCUGAUCUCCGCCAAGAGUUCACAUCGACGCGGAGGUUUGGCACCUCGAUGUCGGCUCAUCGCAACCUGGGGCGGUAGUACGUCCCAAGGGUUGGGCUGUUCGCCCAUUAAAGCGGUACGUGAGCUGGGUUCAGAACGUCGUGAGACAGUUCGGUCCAUAUCCGGUGCAGGCGCAAGAGUAUUGAGAGGAUUCCUCCUUAGUACGAGAGGACCGGGAGGAACGCACCGCUGGUGUACCUGUUAUCGUGCCAACGGUAAACGCAGGGUAGCCAUGUGCGGAGGAGAUAACCGCUGAAAGCAUCUAAGUGGGAAGCCCACCUCAAGAUGAGUACUCUCAUGGCACUAAGCCAGUAAGGUCACGGGCAGAACACCCGUUGAUAGGUUCUAGAUGGAAGUGCAGCAAUGCAUGCAGUCGAGGAAUACUAACAGACCGAGGGCUUGACCUC
rnacentral:rRNA from 1 species